AUGACAGGAGGUUAAGGUUAGGAGGAGUGUUGAUGGUUUCUAAACCCUCCCAAUGACAGGAGGUUAAGGUUAGGAGUAGUGUUGAUGGUUUCUAAACCCUCCCAAUGACAGGAGGUUAAGGUUAGGAGUAGUGUUGAUGGUUUCUAAACCCUCCCAAUGACAGGAGGUUAAGGUUAGGAGUAGUGUUGAUGGUUUCUAAACCCUCCCAAUGACAGGAGGUUAAGGUUAGGAGUAGUGUUGAUGGUUUCUAAACCCUCCCAAUGACAGGAGGUUAAGGUUAGGAGUAGUGUUGA